rnacentral:rRNA from 1 species
UUCGCAAUGCCCGAAAGGGUGACGAAGCGACGCCGCGUGUGGGAAGAAGGCCUUCGGGUUGUAAACCACUGUCGGGAGUUAAGAAAUGCAAGAAUGUUAAUAGUGUUUUUGCUUGACUAAGGCUCCGGAAGAAGCCACGGCUAACUCUGUGCCAGCAGCCGCGGUAAUACAGAGGCGGCAAGCGUUGUUCGGAAUUAUUGGGCGUAAAGAGCACGUAGGCGGCUAUAUAAGUCGGUUGUGAAAGCCUUCCGCUCAACGGGAGAACAGCAUCCGAUACUGUAUGGCUUGAGUGUGGGAGGGGAGAGCGGAACUUCUGGUGGAGCGGUGAAAUGCGUAGAUAUCAGAAGGAACGCCGGCGGCGAAAGCGGCUCUCUGGCCCAUAACUGACGCUGAGUGUGCGAAAGCUAGGGGAGCAAACGGGAUUAGAUACCCCGGUAGUCCUAGCCGUAAACGAUGGGCACUAAGUAGAGGGGUUUU